GAUCUUUGGCCCUGGCUGAUGACCUCAAGGCAAAGCCACUGUCUGAAGACAAGAGAGACUUGGACAAAGAAUCUAUGUUAAAAGCAUUCAAAAAUACUGCUGCUGAUCAGCAGUUUAACCUUGAAGCUGCGAUUAAAAAUGUUGACAAAAUGUCCAAUGAGCUGAAGAAACUAAAUGUGGAAAGCCAGCUACUGCUUUGUGACCUUAUUUUGAAUUUCAACCAUCCUAUGAAGAGCAAAGAUUUAAGAGAAGCUGAAGAAAAAACUUGGAGUUUGACAGAAAAGUAAUAACAUCCAUUUUCAUGCAUCGUCUUCUAUUAAUACUGUUUCAGUUUGAACUGUAAAAUGAUAGUAUGGUUUCUUGCAGUUAGGCUAUUUUUAUUUUAAACUGAAAAUGUGGAGUGGAAAAAUGCUAUAAGUAGGUUAUUGAUUUUGAGACGGUUUUUUUAACCCAAAUUUCCCAAAUUAAGACCACUAGGACUGGAAAGACUGAUAUGAUUAACUAGAAAGGUCAGGAAACUGGGCAUGAAGUUUUUCACAUGUUGUUGUCUCCUUUUAAACAAAGACAUACUGGAACAGUAACAAAAGAUUUUAAGUUACUUCAAGUCAAGUCAUUGUUCUCUUAUCUCAGUUGUGCUCUGGAAAAUGGGAUAAGAAACGGUCAGUAAAGGAGGAACUGCAACUUGCCAUUUGAUCUGCCUUCCUCAUUCUAAAAAUGUUGCUGAGAAAGGGGGCCAAAUAGCAGGUUACUUCUGGAAAACCAGAAUUACUUUCAUUCUAGUUUCUGUAGUGACUUUCUAAUGCACCUAGCUACCAAAGAAAGAGAGUUAGUGGUCUAAAUACUCUAUGCUGAAAUGCUCUUGGCCCAAAAUUUGAGUAGUCAGUAUUUUCGUGUAGUUCAUUACAAUUAAUAUUUAAUCAUACUUUACUUGUGGACAUGUUUGAAUGUUGAGGUGUGU